GCAGAGAGAAGCGGAUUCAGGCUUUUUAAUCUGGGGAGAAGCAAUCUCCAGGGAUUUGUGAUUUGUGGAGGAGAACGGGUCACACUGAGGGUGCUGCUGAGAGCCUGAGAACGAUGGAGCGUUUACCCAGCGCCUUCUGACCAUCCUGAAGGGAAGAGUCUAUUCUCCUAUUGAAGGCCACAUCCUGGCCUCAAAGUUCAGCUUUCAAUCUCCUCAUGCCUUCAAAAGGAUUUAAAACAGUAACAGAUUUACUGAGAUUGGUCUCAUUGUCUUGGAACCAUCUCUCUGAAAUGUAUGUUCAGUGUUGUCCUGCCUGAUCCUGCUUGGUGUUCUCUGAAUAUACUACUUUCUUGACUCUGGACAGUAUGGCUUGAGGUUGGCUAAUGCCAGAAGUAACAACAUAUCAUUUCCAAAUUUCCAGAGAGAACAAUUAAGGAGAAGAAGUAGAGAUCCAACAGUGAGCUUCAUAAUUCCUUGUUCAUAGAAGGAC